UUUUCCUAGGUGCAAAACGGGUGACUUCUACUGAUUUGGUUUAUCUAGGGUUUUGCUUCUUCGUGGUCCAACCAUGGUUGUAUGAGGUUGAAGGUUUGUAUGUUUUUUGGGUGUUUUCUGCAUUUCAGGUGAGUACUUGGUGGGGGAUUGUCUGGUGGCACAUUUUCAGCCCAUACUUGUAGCAGGAGAGUGUGUAUUAGUGAACCUAACAUCGACUUAGAAGCGGGAGCUGUUGCUGAACCGAAAUCAAAUUCAUCACAGCAGUUGUUGAGAUGCUCAGACAAAAGCGGUGAAAAAUUAUCAAGGUGACACAAAUAAUGGGGAUGAGUUGAUGCGAGCAAACAGUUGGUACCUAAUUUUGCCCAAAUUCAUCACAAGGUUCAACCAUCACAAAUGUUGGAAGAAGUCAAGUUGAGUAUGCAAGGAACUUCAGAUUGAUAAAAGAGAUUGGGAAGCUAUGUUCAUGAAGGUUGACGACA